AUCUACGGCCAUGUCACCCUGAACAAGCCUGAUGUCUGAUCUUGGAAGCUAAGCAGGAUCAGGACUGGUUAGUACUUGGAUGGAAGACCAGGUGCUGUAGGCA
rnacentral:rRNA from 1 species